rnacentral:rRNA from 1 species
GAUGAACGCUAGCGGCAGGCUUAACACAUGCAAGUCGAGGGGUAUAGUUCUUCGGAAUUAGAGACCGGCGCACGGGUGCGUAACGCGUAUGCAAUCUACCUUUCACAGAGGGAUAGCCCCAGAGAAAUUUGGAUUAAUACCUCAUAGUAUAGCAGUUUCGCAUGAAACCACUAUUAAAGUCACAACGGUGAAAGAUGAGCAUGCGUCCCAUUAGCUAGUUGGUAAGUAACGGCUUACAAGGCAACGAUGGGUAGGGGUCCUGAGAGGGAGAUCCCCCACACUGGUACUGAGACACGGACCAGACUCCUACGGGAGGGCAGCAGUGAGGAAUAUUGG